AGACAGCAGUCGCCACGGUAAUACGUAGGGUGCAAGCGUUAAUCGGAAUUACUGGGCGUAAAGCGUGCGCAGGCGGUUCUAUAAGACAGAUGUGAAAUCCCCGGGCUCAACCUGGGAACUGCAUUUGUGACUGUAGAGCUGGAGUGCGGCAGAGGGGGAUGGAAUUCCGCGUGUAGCAGUGAAAUGCGUAGAUAUGCGGAGGAACACCGAUGGCGAAGGCAAUCCCCUGGGCCUGCACUGACGCUCAUGCACGAAAGCGUGGGGAGCAAACAGGAUUAGAUACCCCCGUAGUCCCUGUCUCUUAUAC
rnacentral:rRNA from 1 species